rnacentral:rRNA from 1 species
UUUAAGCAUAUAACUAAGCGGAGGAGCAGAAACUUACGAGGAUUCCCUUAGUAACGGCGAGCGAAACGGGAAAGGCCCAGCGUGAGAAUCGGGCUCCCCUCUGGUUGCUCGAAUUGUAGUCUGUAGAAGCUUCCCCGGCGCCGGACCGAGCCAGAGUCCCUUGGAAUGGGGCGCCAUAGAGGGUGAGAGCCCCUUGAGGCUUGGAACCUGACGCAACGCGGGGUGCUAUCACAGAGUCGGGCUGUUUGGGAGUACAGCCCCAAUGGGGCGGUAAGUUCCGUCCAAGGCUAAAUACGCGCGAGAGACCGAUAGCGAACAAGUACCGCGAGGGAAAGAUGAAAAGGACUUUGGAAAGAGAGUUAAAGAGUGCUUGAAAUUGCCGGGAGGGAAGCGGAUGGAGGCCAACGCUGCGUUCGAGGCGGAUGCGGGACGUGGAGACGUCGGCCCGCUGCUCGGAUUCGGACGGAGAGCCGCACGGGCCUCGGCGGCCACAGAAGUGCCAGGGGGAGCCUCCUGGCAUGGCGUCGUCGACGGGGUCGAGGAUCGCAGCAUGCGUACUUGUGUGGGGCCUCGCGGGCCUGCAUGCUCGAGGUGUGGACAGUGGGCCUUCCAUUCGGCCCGUCUUGAAACACGGACCAAGGAGUCUAACAC